rnacentral:rRNA from 1 species
AACGAACGCUGGCGGCAUGCCUAACACAUGCAAGUCGAACGAGAGCACCGGGUCUUGUGGCGCAUGGGUGCGUAAGGCGUGGGGAGCUGCACAUAGGUUCGGAAUAACUCCCCGAAAGGGGUGCUAAUACCGGAUAAUGUCUACGGCCCAAAGAUUUAUCGCGUUUGGAUGGGCCCGCGUGGGAUUAGCUAGUUGGUAGGGUAAAAGCCUCAUAAGGCGACGAUCCAUAGCUGGGCUGAGAGGCUGAGCAGCCACACUGGGACUGAGACACGGUCCAGACUCCUACGGGAGGGAGGAGUGCGGGAUAUAGGAAUGCCGCGGAAGGGCUGAUGCCGCUAUGCCGCGAGAGUGAUGAAGGCCUGAGGGAUGUAAAGCUCUUUUACCCGGGAUGAUAAUGACGGUACCGGGAGAAUAAGCUCCGGCUAACUCCGUG